AGAGUUUGAUCCUGGCUCAGGACGAACGCUGGCGGCGUGCUUAACACAUGCAAGUCGAACGGGGUCCAACCAGUGGCAACACUGGGGAAGACCGAGUGGCGAACGGGUGAGUAACACGUGAGUAACCUGCCCCGAAGACUGGGAUAACGACCGGAAACGGUCGCUAAUACCGGAUGUCCCCAUCGGACCGCAUGAUCUGAUGAGGAAAUGAAUUUCGCUUCGGGAGGGGCUCGCGGGCUAUCAGCUUGUUGGUGGGGUAACGGCUCACCAAGGCUUCUACGGCUAGCUGGUCUGAGAGGACGACCAGCCACACUGGGACUGAGACACGGCCCAGACUCCUACGGGAGGCAGCAGUGGGGAAUCUUGCGCAAUGGGCGAAAGCCUGACGCAGCAACGCCGCGUGCGGGAUGAAGGCCUUCGGGUUGUAAACCGCUUUCAGCAGGAACGAAAUUGACGGUACCUGCAGAAGAAGCACCGGCCAACUACGUGCCAGCAGCCGCGGUAAUACGUAGGGUGCAAGCGUUGUCCGGAUUUAUUGGGCGUAAAGAGCUCGUAGGCGGCUUGGCAAGUCGGGUGUGAAAACUUCAGGCUCAACCUGGAGAUGCCAUCCGAUACUGCUAUGGCUUGAGUCCGGUAGGGGACCACGGAAUUCCUGGUGUAGCGGUGAAAUGCGCAGAUAUCAGGAGGAACACCGGUGGCGAAGGCGGUGGUCUGGGCCGGCACUGACGCUGAGGAGCGAAAGCGUGGGUAGCAAACAGGAUUAGAUACCCCCGUAGUCC
rnacentral:rRNA from 1 species